AGAUUGAACGCUGGCGGCAUGCUUUACACAUGCAAGUCGAACGGCAGCACGGGGGCAACCCUGGUGGCGAGUGGCGAACGGGUGAGUAAUAUAUCGGAACGUACCCGGAAAUGGGGGAUAACGUAGCGAAAGUUACGCUAAUACCGCAUAUGCCCUGAGGGGGAAAGCGGGGGAUUCGUAAGAGCCUCGCGUUUUCGGAGCGGCCGAUAUCGGAUUAGCUAGUAGGUGAGGUAAAGGCUCACCUAGGCGACGAUCCGUAGCUGGUCUGAGAGGACGACCAGCCACACUGGAACUGAGACACGGUCCAGACUCCUACGGGAGCAGCAGUGGGAAUUUGGACAAUGGGCGCAAGCCUGAUCCAGCCAUGCCGCGUGAGUGAAGAAGGCCUUCGGGUUAGUAAGCGUACUUUCGAGUCCGGAAAGAAACGACGACGGUUAAUACCCGUGUACGUGGAGUGAACGGUACCGGAAGUAAGAA
rnacentral:rRNA from 1 species